rnacentral:lncRNA from 1 species
CUGCAGUCACUCUCCGAUUCCUUCUCUCAGAUUGUCAUCAACUACCAUAUGAACAAACUGAAUACCAACCUACCUGAACUACUGAAUAUGCUAAAAAUAGCAAAGAGCCAUUUCAAGAUGAUAAGGCUCCAGCUCUUCUUGUUGAUAAGAUCAAUAAGAAAAAAGGCAAGAAGGAUUCCAAAAAAUAGUUAAACCCUAAGGCUGGCAUCUCCAAGAAGAAGGUGAAGGUCUCCACCAAAAGUAUUUGCUAUCACUGCGGCA